rnacentral:rRNA from 1 species
UACGAAGGGGGCUAGCGUUGCUCGGAAUCACUGGACGUAAAGCGCACGUAGGCGGACUCUUAAGUCGGUGGUGAAAUCCUGGAGCUCAACUCCAGAACUGCCUUCGAUACUGGGAGUCUCGAGUUCGGGAGAGGUGAGUGGAACUGCGAGUGUAGAGGUGAAAUUCGUAGAUAUUCGCAAGAACACCAGUGGCGAAGGCGGCUCACUGGCCCGAUACUGACGCUGGUGUGCGAAAGCAUGGGGAGCAAACGGG